AAGAACAGCUAGGCAGGCGCGUGUAUCUAAUCCCGCUCCAUGGGAAAAGCGACAGAGAAGCGCAGUGCGGCAUCAGUCGUUUCCGAGCAAUCAGAACGAAAUCACGUGCCUUCAGUAUUGGUUCGACAUUCAGACGGCGUUGUUGUCACGUUGUUCGAUCAGUGUAUUUUCACCAUACUCAUCUGUGAAUAAUAAGCGAGAAGCAGCGUGUAGCCUGAAGAAAAACCGAGUUACUGAAAUAAAAACAUGCUACGAAAGCUGAAGGUGAAUUUCGUGUCCUAAGUCUUCAUUGUUUUAUGCAACUUCAGAUUUCAGUGAUAUCUAUUUUUGUCUCUGUGCGUCGAGUGUCAAUAUUAUUAUUUUUGUGACUGAUUUUCGGCAAAUGCGCAGGUGCAUUGUUGGCAAGUUUAUUCAGUCGUUUCAAACAGACAGCAACAGCACAAACAGUGAGUGUAGAAUCGAAUGUUAUUGCGGUGCGGAUUUUUGGAUUACAAGAGAUUAGUGAAGAUUUAAAUUAUGUAAAAAGUGCGUCGCUUCACCAACAAACCUGAGAUGCAACAAGAACUACUACGUGUAAAAGUCUGGAGCAGCCCAGAGUAGAGAUUUAAGCAGAGACUUUCCAGUAACUUUUACAUUUCUCGGCAACGUUGGU